GUCUCCUAAGCCGUGACUUAUAUUCCCUGGACUGUUCUUUCUUCUGCCCAGCCGGAGCCUCUGCGUAUUCAGCCGCUCUCUGGCUGGCCUUCUGGGGAAUGGGUCUUCCUGUCCCUUUUCAGGGUUCCUGGUGUGUCUUUCCCCGCAUUUCUGUGCGGAGCCUUAUGACCGGCCUUGGAUUCGUUCUAUUCUUGUUCCCUCCCCAUGGUACUGCUCUUUAACGUCCCAUGGUCUUCUGUGUCCCCCAAUGAUACGAGCAAUCAGAAAUUUGAUUUCU